GACGAACGCUGGCGGCGUGCCUAAUACAUGCAAGUAGAACGCUGAAGAGAGGAGCUUACUCUUCUUGGAUGAGUUGCGAACGGGUGAGUAACGCGUAGGUAACCUGCCUUGUAGCGGGGGAUAACUAUUGGAAACGAUAGCUAAUACCGCAUAACAAUGGAUGACACAUGUCAUUUAUUUGAAAGGGGCAAUUGCUCCACUACAAGAUGGACCUGCGUUGUAUUAGCUAGUAGGUGAGGUAAUGGCUCACCUAGGCGACGAUACAUAGCCGACCUGAGAGGGUGAUCGGCCACACUGGGACUGAGACACGGCCCAGACUCCUACGGGAGGCAGCAGUAGGGAAUCUUCGGCAAUGGGGGCAACCCUGACCGAGCAACGCCGCGUGAGUGAGGAAGGUUGUCGGAUCGUAAAGCUCUGUUGUAAGUCAAGAACGGGUGUGAGAGUGGAAAGUUCACACUGUGACGGUAGCUUACCAGAAAGGGACGGCUAACUACGUG
rnacentral:rRNA from 1 species